rnacentral:lncRNA from 1 species
AAUUGUUAGUUGAUUUAGUGGUGAUUGACGUUGAACUUUAUAGGGAGGACCACAGUUUGAUCUCUGCAACUGCAUCGGGAGGGGCUGAAACCACUUGAUGUCAGCAGGGGCGUCGCCACGUUGUAGCGAGGGGGUUCAACUGAACCCCCUGAACUUAAGAAAAUUGUACGUAAAUUCUAUGUAUUUUUGCACUUUCAACCCCCUAAAAUUUUACUUUUGCACCACUAAAGAG